CAGAUUUUCUAUCAAGAAUUGGUUGGUGAGGAAAUUAGAAACAGAGGUGGAAUUAAAGUCCUUUCCCUUAGAGAUCAUACUGAUGGCAUUUAUCAGGAAUUAUGGGUUGAACUACUUCAAAUUGGUUCCUGAGCUUUGAUGACAGGACCCAAUGCUUCUACUCUUUUGUGAUGAUAAGGCAAUAUAUCAACUCAGCUUCUGGAGGACCUCCACCUUUUUGGGAAGUGGAAAGGCUCCUGGUGAAGAACUCAAGGCUCUGGAGUCAGAUAGCCUGGACUCAAAUCUUACCUCUGUUCUUACUAGU